AAGUCGUAACAAGGUUUCCGUAGGUGAACCUGCGGAAGGAUCAUUACCAAAUCCAAUAACAAACCACUGUGAACUGUAUCCAUGUCUUUGGGGGUAGAACACUGUUGGAGUAAACUCCUAACAUUGUUCUCCCCCAAAAGGAAUAACUCACACCUUCGGGUUGUGCGUUUUCCUCUUUGAACACCUUAAAACUUUGAUGGAUUGUUUUUCAAACAACUAACAAAGACAACUUUUAACGGUGGAUCUCUUGGCUCGU
rnacentral:misc_RNA from 1 species